rnacentral:rRNA from 1 species
AACCCUAGACUGUGGAUCACUUGGCUCAUGGGUCGAUGAAGACCGCAGCAAACUGCGCGUCGCCGUGUGAACUGCAGGACACAUGAUCAUUGACAUGUUGAACGCAUAUUGCGCCUUUUACAU